UACGGGGGGAGCAAGCGUUGUUCGGAUUUACUGGGCGUAAAGGGCGCGUAGGCGGUCGUGACAAGUCACUUGUGAAAUCUCCGGGCUUAACUCGGAACGGUCAAGUGAUACUGUCGGACUAGAGUACAGAAGGGGCAACUGGAAUUCUCGGUGUAGCGGUGAAAUGCGUAGAUAUCGAGAGGAACACCUGCGGCGAAGGCGGGUUGCUGGGCUGAUACUGACGCUGAGGCGCGAAAGCCAGGGGAGCGAAAGGG
rnacentral:rRNA from 1 species